GGAGAGAUGGCAGAGUGGUCGAAUGCGAUUGAUUCGAAAUCAAUUGACCGUGCAAGCGGUCCGGGGGUUCGAAUCCCUCUCUCUCCG
rnacentral:tRNA from 1 species